rnacentral:lncRNA from 1 species
GGUAAUAAUCAACAAGUAAUCAGAUACGAAACGCCAAGCAGAAGGGAAAACAAAGGGAAGCCAUUCAGCAUUGCAGAGGAUAAAACCUGUCCUCAGCCCAGCGGGUGAUUGUGGGGAACACAACAGGAGGAGAUAAGAGGGUUUUCUAUGAGAGCUCCUAAGCUAGCUGAGCUUGUUGAUAAUAGUUCUAAUGGCCUGCAAAUCCUCAUUCAGGUUGUAGUCUAUGUUUAUUCAUCUGAUAACAAGUUUUCAAAUGCGAAGUCUUGGAAAUCUAUUGCGGAUGGGUCCUUUGGCUGCUUCCAGAGUUUUGCUAAUGGGGACAGUGCUGCUGAGAACACUCUUGGACAACUUCCCACUGCUCUAAGGGCUGCUACUUUCUAGCUGGUGUUUGCAAGACAAGAAAAUCUUUUGGAAGAGGAAGACUUACCCACUGGUUCUUUUGCUUAUUCAAGGCUUGGAUUCAAUCCAGAGUGAUUGACAACAUUGAAAAUGCUGUUGCCUCAUUUAUGAUUAUGGAUGAUGAUCCAAUGUCCUCCAUCCAUGUCCAAAUUCUGGGACGCCAAGAAGAGAAGACUGCCUACGAAUUCCUUGAUUAUGAAAAGGAUGUACGCUGGGAAUUCAACUCACUCCUUCACCAGCUCCUGUGACCUCUCUUUCCCACAAUCAUACAGGAAGAGUGACUGCCAUCUCUCUCUCGGGUAACUCUGCCUUGAGUAAGUAAGCACUGAAAAAACUGUUUAUUUUAUUUUGAGAGAUAUAUUUGCAAUUCUUUAUGUAUCUUUAACAAAUCAUUUUAUUGUUUAUUUACAUUACAGACUAUGGUUCCUUUCCAUGUAGUAGCAAAGUGUAAUUCUUUCAGUAUUCACAAACAUACUAAUGAGUUCAUUAAGAGUCAAAUAAUUAGGAAUUGGUGUUUUAAAUGCCUUAUAUCAUGAAGAAAUCCACAGUGGGCUGUUUUAUAGGUGAUUAAGGAAUAUAGAUGAUAUAGGGAACAGAUUAUUAUUUUUCCCUUUAAUGUAAUAGAAUAUGGGCUUCUGCUAUGCAAAAAUUCACUGUCCAGUGGCAUUUCAGGAAAAGACUAGACUUAAAUAACAAGAGCCCCCUAUAUCUAUUAUUUUUUUCAGCUUUAUUGAGACACAAUUGAUAUAUAACACUGUGUAAGCUUAAGGUGUACAAAUGUUGGUUUGAUACACUUACGUAUUGCAAAAUGAUCACCACCAUAGCGUUAGCUAACACCUCCGUCCCCCUGAGUGACUUUUUAAAAUGACCGACACUCUUCAGGCCCUGGGGGUUCAACAGUAAACACACGGUCUUUGUCUUUAUAGAGCUUACCUUUGGUAGAGGGAGAAGUACACUAAAAUAACAAAUAACAUAAAAUAUGUCAGGCAGAGACGUGUGCUGAAGAGGAAAAUGAGCCAAGCUAGGGAGAUACAGAGAGAAGAGAGAGGUGCUAUUAAUGUAGUCAGAGUCUUUUGGGUACAGUGCAGAAACCCACUGAAGUGUUCAAACAAGGCAUUUGGAUGUCCAAGGAAAGGGCAGCCCAGGCAAGGCUGACACAGGAGGAUGCCCGGUGUGCUUGGGGAAGAGUGAAGGGGCCAGCAUGGCUGGGGAGGAGGAAGCCACGGAGAGACGGGAGGAGGGGAGCUCAGAGAGGUUGGGGGUGGGGAGAUCUCGGAGGACCUUGGAGGCCAGAGUAAGGACUUUGGAUUUUAUCCAGAGAGAGAUGGGAAGCCACUGAAAGUUUUGAACAGAGGAUUGCCAUAACAUAGCUUAGAUUUGCAAAGAAUCAUUCUGGCGAUGGUAUAGAGAAAAUACUGUGUGUGUGCAUGCAUGCAUGUGUGCAUGUGUGCGUGUGUGUGUGUGCGCGCACACGUGAUGGGGAACUGAAGGGUAGAAAUGGGGAGGUCAGUAUGAAGACUGACGCAAUGGUCCAGACAACACAAGUUAGAGGCUUAGACUAGGAUGGUUGCACUAGGAGUGGUAAGAAACAGUGGGUUCUGAAUAUAUUGUGAUAGCAAAGCUGACAUGAUGAAUUGGAGGUGACAGAAACUUGAAGGUUUUUGGCUUGGGUAUGAGGAAGAAGGGAGUUGCCAUCCACCAAGCUGGGGAAGAUUGAGAGAGAAGUAGGUGUGGAUGGGGUGGAGCGGGGGAGUCAGAGUUUAGUUGCUGAUCUGUUAAAUUGGAGAUGCCUCUAGGACAUCCGAAGUGGAAACGUGGUGGUUGAUUAGCUGUCUUCCUGUGCCUGGUACUUCAUCAGUAGACUGGAGCUGUUCACAAUACCUACCUACCCCACUAAAAGACUAAAAGGACUAAAAGAGUUACCAGGUUAAACUACUUUGCAGAGCUCAUGGUAACCACUCACCUGUUAUUGUCAUGAAUAUCUUUGAUUAAGUCACAUUUUCUGAGAAUAUUCAUACAAAAAGGAAGUACGACGUCCCUGAGUGUGAUCGAGCCCAUCCCUAGAGUCAUGGCUUAGAGCCAGAAUGAACUUCAAUCUCCGCUAAUUUGAACCCUCAUUUUAUGGAUGAGGAGAUGGAUGGAGGGCCAGGGAGGCUCGUCGUGAGUCUAGAAUCCGGGUUCUCCAGCCCAGGGCUGCUACCCCGGGAGCCUGUAAUCUUUCCAUUACCCGGUACUUCCCAUGAAACAUUACAUUUUUCCCCCCUGGGGUCUCAAUUUUGAAGGGUGUUUGCUAAAAAUCUGAGAUGAUUCGACAUUUAGUGAGGCUUGUCACAGGUUUAAUCUUCAGAGAGCAGGGAGGCAGUUGAGCCCGGAGAGGAGGUGCCCUGAGUGAGGCUCACAUCCAGCCUCUUUAGAAGAGUGAGAUGUGGGGAAAGUAACACCCAGGUGACCAGGCCUGAGGAGCACGGCCCGGCUUGCCCGGGGGAGGUGAUCCAAGCUGCGAGGUUCUUUUCCUUUGUGGAAAUAUCACAUGAUCAAGCUUCCUCAGUCACACGGCCGUUCAGCCAGAUGGAGUGGAGGACGGGAUAGAUGAAACCACUGCAAAGUUAAUGCCCUUGUAAACGUGGAUAUUUCUAGGACUCUGUAUUUUAUUGUCAUCUAAGAGGUUCCUUUUCUACCUGUACCUCACAUCUCUCCUUGCCCUCUACCCUCCAAUUUCCGGGUUAAUGCUGCUCAGAAAUCACACAUGUCCCGUCUUUUCCAUUUGUCUUGGGAUGCUGAUUAGUACGUAAUCUAUUCUUGAGCCCUUUUGAGAGUCUGAAGUUUCUGCAGAAGUGCUUUGUGGCAGGCCUGGAACUGAGUCCAUCGGAUACCUUUCCACUGAGGCCCACCGUUGCUGUGAGGGCUGGAGAGUCGAGGACUGUUAUCUUCCCAGGGCUUUCUUACUCUGCCCAAAGCAAAGGAAGUCACCAACAUCUCCCCUUGCCCUUGGGAAUAUGCACUCAGCUGAUGACGCUGAUGAUCCAGCAGGCUCUCCCGCAUGCUCAGCUUUGCGGUUUAGCAGAGCACGUUGCGGGUGAGGGGAGGCAGCUGAGCCUAGGCAGCGAGACUUAGUCGGUGCAGGUAGAGUGUGAGAGACCAGAGGGCCUGGACCGUGCUCAGGGCUGGUCUCCUAGGUUCUCUGCCCAGUGUCCAUGCUCCCUCUCCCUUGGUAACUAAUGCUAAUUUUGUUUGUAGCAGGAAUGUUACAAAUUCCUAAUGAGCCAGUGAGAAGCCUUGUGAAUUCGUCUUUGGGUAAAGCUAUUGUUUUUCUGAUAAAAAAGCACAGGAUUGGGAGUAGAAAUUUUGAUCUUGAAAGUGAAAGUCCCACGCUAAGGAUGGCAAAGCAGAAAGACUCAAGGAGUCGGGACUUCUCUGACGCCGCAGACGUGCUGCGCCAGUUCUCCACUUGGUCCUACUGUUUGGUGAGAAGAAAUCGCCCCCAUCGGCCGAGGCUGGUGUAUCAGAGCUUUGUCCGGUGCGGCCGAAAGCAAUCCGAACGGCUGACAGCAUCUCGCCCGUCAGGUGGAAGCUCGGCUCUGCCACUCGCUUGCAGUGGAGCUUUAAGGAAUGGCACUUAAACUCUCCGAGCCUCAGUUUCCCCAUUUCUAAAAUGAGGACAAUAACACCUUCCCUGCAGGAGUCCUGAGAGAAUUCCAGGGGCUUCUGUAAGCCCAGGAUGCAUCACGGGUCACUGCUGCUGUUGACAGCCCCUGGCUCUGCCCCUGUUGGGGAGGGGGAGCCGUGUGGUUUGACAGGAUGGGUAAGCACGGAAGGAGUGUUUGGAGGGGAAAGAGUUCUCUCAGAGGUCAUGAACAGGCCAAGAGAGAUGGAAAACCUCAGAGGACAGAGGAGCCAGUCCAGGAAGCCAAACCCAAAGAUGCAAACUUGCCUGAAGCCCAGGCCGGCUCUGCUAAGUGUCUCAGGUGGGGCCUGUGCAGGGGUGGGCCGGGUAUGCACGUGCAGCGUUUGAGGGGCUGCAGCUGGUGAGGAGUAAGCGCCCGGGGCUGCAGGUAGGUUCUCCCACUUAGGUCAUGAGUGUGAUGAAAGAAAUAGUGUGUGUGUGUGUGUGUGUGUGUGCGUGCACGUGCGUGUGUGCGUGCAUGCAUGUCAGUGUGUGCCGGCCCUGGGGCACUGGUAGGUCAGCCAGUAAUCUUUUAAAAAUGGAAAUCUAAUUUUUCACUUCCCUGUUUUAAAAACCCUUCACUGCUCCUAGGCAUGUAUCCAAGAGGAGGGUUGGGAGUGACAGCUGAGGGGUGCGGGGUUUCUUUUGGGGAGUAAUGGAAAGGUUCCAAAAUGAUUGUGGUGAUGGAUGCAGAACUUGGUGAAUGUACAACAAGCGGUUGAACUGUACACUUUGAAU